UAGGGAAUCUUCCACAAUGGACGCAAGUCUGAUGGAGCAACGCCGCGUGAGUGAAGAAGGCUUUCGGGUCGUAAAACUCUGUUAUUGAAGAAGAACGUGUGUGACAGUAACUGGUCAUGCAGUGACGGUAUUCAAUCAGAAAGUCACGGCUAACUACGUGCCAGCAGCCGCGGUAAUACGUAGGUGGCAAGCGUUGUCCGGAUUUAUUGGGCGUAAAGCGAGUGCAGGCGGUCUUUUAAGUCUGAUGUGAAAGCCUUCGGCUUAACUGAAGAAGGGCAUCGGAAACUGGGAGACUUGAGUGCAGAAGAGGAGAGUGGAACUCCAUGUGUAGCGGUGAAAUGCGUAGAUAUAUGGAAGAACACCAGUGGCGAAGGCGGCUCUCUGGUCUGUAACUGACGCUGAGGCUCGAAAGCGUGGGUAGCAAACAG
rnacentral:rRNA from 1 species